AGCGAACGCUGGCGGCAGGCCUAACACAUGCAAGUCGAACGAAGCCUUCGGGCUUAGUGGCGGACGGGUGAGUAACACGUGGGAACGUACCUUUUGGUUCGGAAUAACGCAGAGAAAUUUGCGCUAAUACCGGAUGAGCCCUUCGGGGGAAAGAUUUAUCGCCGAAAGAUCGGCCCGCGUGGGAUUAGGUAGUUGGUGAGGUAAAGGCGCACCAAGCCUACGAUCCAUAGCUGGUCUGAGAGGAUGAUCAGCCACACUGGGACUGAGACACGGCCCAGACUCCUACGGGAGGCAGCAGUGGGGAAUCUUGCGCAAUGGGCGAAAGCCUGACGCAGCCAUGCCGCGUGAAUGAUGAAGGUCUUAGGAUUGUAAAAUUCUUUUACCAGGGACGAUAAUGACGGUACCUGGAGAAAAAGCCCCGGCUAACUUCGUGCCAGCCGCCGCCGUAAGAC
rnacentral:rRNA from 1 species